rnacentral:rRNA from 1 species
UACGUAGGGAGCGAGCGUUGUCCGGAAUGACUGGGUGUAAAGGGAGCGUAGGCGGGAUGGCAAGUCAGAUGUGAAAACUGAGGGCUCAACCUUCAGACUGCAUUUGAAACUGCUGUUCUUGAGUGAGGUAGAGGUAAGCGGAAUUCCUGGUGUAGCGGUGAAAUGCGUAGAGAUCAGGAGGAACAUCGGUGGCGAAGGCGGCUUACUGGGCCUUUACUGACGCUGAGGCUCGAAAGCGUGGGGAGCAAACAGG